rnacentral:rRNA from 1 species
GACGAACGCUGGCGGCGUGCCUAAUACAUGCAAGUCGAACGCAGUGGGGACGGGUGAGUAACACGUGGGUAACCUCCCAUCAGAGGGGAUAACACUUGGAAACAGGUGCUAAACCGAUACUGAUGGAUGGACCCGCGGUGCAUGAGCUAGUUGGUGAGGUAACGGCUCACCAAGGCCACGAUGCAUAGACGAGUUGAGAGGGUGAUAGGCCAAACUGGGACUGAGACACGGCCCAGCCGCCUAGGGGAGGCAGCAGUAGGGAAUCUGCGGAAAUGGACGAAAGGCUGACCGCGCAACGCCGCGUGAGUGAAGAAGGUUUUCGGAUCGUAAAACUCUGUUGUUCGAGAAGCGGUAUCUAACCAGAAAGCCACGGCUAACUACGUGCCAGCAGCCGCGGUAAUUC